rnacentral:rRNA from 1 species
AUACGUAGGUGACAAGCGUUAUCCGGAUUUACUGGGCGUAAAGGGCGUGUAGGCGGUCUUGCAAGUCAGAAGUGAAAUUCCUGAGCUCAACUCGGGCGCUGCUUCUGAAACUGCAGGACUUGAGUGCUGGAGGGGAUAGCGGAAUUCCUAGUGGAGCGGUAAAAUGCGCAGAUAUUAGGAAGAACACCGGUGGCGAAGGCGGCUAUCUGGACAGUAACUGACGCUGAGGCGCGAAAGCGUGGGGAGCAAACAGGAUUAGAUACCCUGGUAGUCCACACUGUAAACGAUGAAUGCUAGGUGUAAGAGGUAUCGACCCCUUUUGUGCCGGAGUCAACACAAUAAGCAUUCCGCCUGGGGAGUACGGCCGCAAGGUUGAAACUCAAAUGAAUUGGCGGG